GUAAGGCUCCCAGUAGACGACUGGGUUGAUAGGCCGGAUGUGGAAGCCCUGUAAGGGGUGGAGCUGACCGGUACUAAUAGGCCGAGGGCUUGUCCUC
rfam:Streptomyces paucisporeus strain CGMCC 4.2025 genome assembly, contig: Ga0079900_126